rnacentral:tRNA from 1 species
GAGGGAAUAGCUCAAGUGGUAGAGUAAUUGCCUAACAAGCAUGAAGCACUGGGUUCAAACUCCAGUUAUCACA